CAUUAAGCAGCCAGUUCCGAAGUCUAAUCACUUAUCACAUCCUUUUAAUUGAAGGCCCCACAAUUUGUAAUUUAUUUUGGGCGAGGCACGCCUCAUUUCAUUUUAAAGGAUAUCCUAAAGCGACUACGUUUUCGAUUUCUUUACGUCUCUAAAAAUGAAAAGCAGAAAAAACAUCAUAUAUUAUUUACAUGCUAGAGUUAUUAUAGUUAAGUUGUGAACAUAAGUUGUUAAUGCUAAAAGAUUGAACGCAUACAUAGGCAGGAGUUUAACAGUUUUGGGCCCAGUUCCAAUGCGAAUAAUGUGAAACUAGGCAUGGGCCAUUCUACUAUAAUUUUGGGACCUAACUACAUUACUCUACACAUACUUGAUAUUAGCAAAUGGGGGCAAAAACGGAAAUGUUGUCUAACUACACAAAGUUUUGCAAAUUGGUUAUGCCAUCUAUCUACUGAAAUGACUUGAGCUCUCUAUUCAUCAAUUACCUAAAUUUGUUCAUGCGUCUAAAUAAGAUGGACUGAAAUGAUAGAGAUCGAAUCACUAUGUCAUUAACUCGUUUAAACUAGCAUACGAGAGAAAAGGUCUACGAUCUAGACUAUUACAGAUUAGUAUUCAGUUAUACAUAACAACUACUAACAUGAAUCUAGUGAAGACUAAUAACUACACAUACACAACCUAAUACACGAAAUACAACUAAACAAAUUCUGAGCUAUAAAGCUCCCUUUUUAUUCAUGCUUCGAACUUCAGCUACAUUGUGUACCACUGUAAUAGUUGUGUACCUGGUAUUUGGGGGAAAAAAGAAAGAGAUGAAGAUCAGUAUUACAAUAGCACAAGCACAGCAGAUUUAACAACAAACAGUUUCAGCAAAACCAGUAGAAAGAAUCCCAGGAAAGAUUGCAAAUUAGAUAGGAGGAAACCCAAGAGAUCAAUGUAACACUACUUGGACACAAAAUAACUCAGCAACACCCAAAUGAGUACCAGAAGCUAAACACUAACAGAAAACCAAGAACUUACACACCACAAAUCUAAUAACACGCACGAAUGCACUCACAGUUAGGUUUAGAGUUAGACAGAUGCAAAGAAUAGUGUUUCUAAUUGCCAACAGUCAAAGAAAACCAACUGAACUUUUAAGUAAAAACUCAUCUUAAAGUCACUCUUUAAUUCGGAAAUUUAGUUCAACUUUCAACCCCACCCUCUAUCUAUUUCUCUGAAAAUUCUUUUAACCUUUGUGAUUUUCAAAAGACUCUCUCAAAGAAGUUAUCAAAACAGUGAGGUUUUUGUUCUGUUUCUUUUUUGAAUCUCUCUUAGACUUCAAAGAACUUCCCCUUCUUAGUCCCAAAUGAACUCUAUUUAUAUCAAAGGUCGUGUCCUUUUGUAGUCCAUUUCCUUUUACUUUUACCUUCUUAUUAUUACCCUUUAACUCUUUUACUUUCCAUAACUAUGUGUCACUUUUUGAUUUUAUUAUUACCUACUAUUGCUAAUUUUUAAUUAGCAGAAGCAUCUUUCAUUACUUAGUGGUCCUCCUAUCAAUUAGUUCAAAAUUUAAGCAUAUGAGGACUUUACUGGACAAAAUACUCAGUCAAACCAUUUUUCAACUUCUGAACUUCCCAAAUUAUCCCUGAGACCCCACUGUUAUUUACCCUAGGAUUCCCUACUGUACAUCAUCAGCUAUAACCAAUUCUUAAUACCAAUCAAAGAAUUAAAUCUAUUAUCAAAGAAACAACUAACUACUGAGAUAAAAAAUGAACUGAAACCAUUUAAAAUUAUAAGAUAAAAUUCAAUAUCAAUUUUAGUUUGGGUAAUUAGAUUGGAUAGAAUAGUACCAAAUGAGCAGGGAACCAAUCUUUAAAACAAACAAAUGCCAAAAAAUGCAGGAUCAAUUCAUAACACCUUUGACACCAAAUUUCGGAUGAGAAUUAUUUAAUUAUAAACAUGAUUGAACUACUAAACAACAAACAAUAUGAAAUAGUAAAAUGGGGAUUUCAGUGGUAUUUGACCAAACAGAGGUUAUAAAGAAAAUCCUACUAAUCGACGAAACUAUUCGAAUCAAUUACAUAGUGUAUACUAUAUAUGUAUCAAUGGACAGAAAUAAUCCGACCAAAUAAAAGGUCUACUGAAGAUGGAGAAAAUUGAGAGAAAAAAAUUAUAGAAAAAUCAAAACUAAACUAACAUGUAAACAAACAUUAUUAGAACCCAAAUAAAAUUGAAGGAAGAAGAAAAUACCUCAGAACUUAAAGAACACAGAUGACCCAGCCUCGAACCAAACUUCAAUCAUUUUGAGGUUGAACAGACUCUUAAUCGGCGUGUUCUCAGUUGAGAACACCUAGAUUAAGGUCUAUUAGACCUCAAUCUCCCAUUGAUCUAAAUGUACUCCCAAUUUUUGGAUUUCUAAGGUUCAUACGGGUGAUUUGGGGACUCGGGGUUUUCUAGUUAGAUUCGAACCAAACCUUUGUCGGUUUAGGUAUGAUGGAGGUCAAGGGAUUGUUUGGUAUCAAUUUGGGGGNNN
rnacentral:lncRNA from 1 species